UUUUUCAUAAUGUCAUUGCAAGAUUACCAUUAAGGCUGCUAAUGGUAUUAUUGGUAUCAAAAAACUACUCUGUUUGACGUGGUAAAACUUCUACUACCCUGCUAGGUGAUUCGAUUGAAAUGCAAAAUUGUGUGUU